CAGGCCUAACACAUGCAAGUCGUGCGAGAAAGGGAGCAAUCCCCGGUAAAGCGGCGCACGGGUGAGUAACACGUAGGUAACCUACCCCCGAGUGGUGGAUAACCUUCCGAAAGGAGGGCUAAUACAGCAUAAGACUACGACCCCGAAAGGGGAUGAAGUCAAAGUCGGCCUCUCUACAGAAGCUGGCGCUUGGGGACGGGCCUGCGGCCCAUCAGGUAGUUGGUAGGGUAACGGCCUACCAAGCCGAAGACGGGUAGCUGGUCUGAGAGGAUGAUCAGCCACACUGGAACUGAGACACGGCCCAGACUCCUACGGGAGGCAGCAGUGGGGAAUAUUGGACAAUGGGCGAAAGCCUGAUCCAGCAAUGCCGCGUGAGUGAUGAAGGCCUUAGGGUUGUAAAGCUCUUUUACCCGGGAUGAUAAUGACAGUACCGGGAGAAUAAGCCCCGGCUAACUCCGUGCCAGCAGCCGCGGUAAU
rnacentral:rRNA from 1 species